CCUACGGGGGGCAGCAGUGGGGAAUAUUGGACAAUGGGGGAAACCCUGAUCCAGCGACGCCGCGUGAGUGAAGAAGUAUUUCGGUACGUUAAGCUCUAUCAGCAGGAAAGAAAAUGACGUUACGUGACUAAGAAGCCCCGGCUAACUACGUGCCAGCAGCCGCGGUAAUACGUAGGGAGCAAGCGUUAUCCGGAUUUUCUGGGUGUAAAGGGAGCGUAGACGGCAGCGCAAGCCUGGAGUGAAAUGCCGGGGCCCAACCCCGGCGCUGCGCUGGAAACUGGGAAGCUGGAGUGCGGGAGAGGUAUGCGGAAUGCGUGGUGUAGCGGUGAAAUGCGUAGAUAUCAGGAGGAACACCGGUGGCGAAGGCGGCUUACUGGACUGUAACUGACGUUGAGGCUCGAAGGCGUGGGUAGCAAACAGGAUUAGAUACCCGUGUAGUC
rnacentral:rRNA from 1 species